GAGGGUAUAGCUCAAGUGGUAGAGCACAUGCUCAGCAUGCACAAGGUCUUGGGUUCAAUCCCCAGUACCUCCC
rnacentral:tRNA from 1 species